rnacentral:siRNA from 1 species
AUGUGCGGAUCGGGCUCUGAUACC